GCAUAAAUCACGUUAGCCCGUCAGCUCCGCUAACAUUAGCGUUAGCUUGCUCAUUUCACCAGCUAAUGUUAUGCUAACGUUAACAGCGAGGCUACAAGUUAUAAUGUAAACAAUCUGCACACACGGAGACGGAAUCAUAGUGACGUCUGUGUCAACUAGUCAGCGUUGCUUUGGAACUGACAGUCCCGGUUGAGCCACGGUGAUAUUUAGCUACAUUUGUGUUUAGCAACUUCAACAACAUGGAGCGAAUGGAUUAUCUGGAGCCAGAGAUGUCAUUCACCUAACGAGCUCACGGCUUUACUCCACGAGCUGGGAGCUAAUGUCGUCUAAUGUCUGCUGUUUUCCAGGGAGAACACAAUGUCAACCGCAACAAUUGAACAACUCGUGUGUUCUCAGUGACCAUAAAGUACCUGUCUGCAACGCCUGCAUCUCCUUCAGUGAGUUCACCUCCAGCCACAACCUCUCAAGCUGGGACUUCACGUCAUCUUCUUCUGCAGCUGCAUCUCCACGAAGAGGCAAGAGCAUCAGCCUUCCUGGUGCGAGAUGGACCGCUGGAGCUGAAGUGGAGCAAGGAGAAGCAAAGAAGGAGGAGGACGGUGAGGGCCAGACGUGCCAUGUCUGAGGGUCUUACCUCCUCCAGCGCCCAUAGGGAGUCCACAACCGGCUUGAUCUUCUUUUGGUCAUAGAGACAGAAGAGUUUGUCCAUCACUGAUUUCACAAGACUACAUUUCCCAUGUUUGAAGAGCAGGUUGAGGAGAGAGAAUCCUGCUAUGACUUUGUUCUCCUCGUAUAGUUUAAUAGGGUUCACCUUCUCCACCUGCCACCACUGGAGAACAAGAAAAAAACACAGACACAUUCAUCCCGAGUGACUCCUUUGUGAUUCAUUUGCCAUGAAAUUAUGAAAUGUUCAUUGGAUAGUAUUGUUUCCCCCAAAAGUUGAUAAUAGACUGCAUCUAUGACUCACAGAUUUUGCAAAGCUGAAGAAACUCUUUGUUUCCCCAGUUACCAAGUUUGACGCGCCUGAAAAAACAAAAAUAAAAGGAUUGCUGUAUGCUGUGCAAAAUUCUAAGCAGAAGUGACUUGUCAAUAGCAGGCAGCCUUGCAUGAAGGGUGAAGGUGGGGGAGGAACAGUUGGCACCUUUAGACCCUUAGAUCUGUGAAAGCAUGCCUUUGCACAUAGUCAGUCAAACUCAAACUAAUGAACUGAUGAAUUAAUUAAUUAAUCUCCCUCUAAGGCUGCUACUUGAUUCAUGAGGCUUAACACAAACUAAAGUAAUUAACAAAGAUCAGAAAAGUAUGGUAGCUGUGAAGGACAAUACUUGUCCUUUGCAGUCGAUGGAUGGAGUAUGUUUUAUUCAAGUGAGCCUCACUAUCUCACACUCAGUCCGGCUGCCAACACAAUACAUUCAUCCAAGACUCAUCUUUAAUGUAAUAGUGUGAUAAUAUAGGUGAUAUUAUGUGGUUUUUUUGCAGAGACUUCACCAUUUUAAAGAUGUUUAUGUGCCAGACUAUUUCUAGUCCGUCAGUGAUGACUUCCUGAAGUCUUGUUAUCACCAGGAUUACUGUUUCCCCAAUUUCAGUCUGUAUCCUAACCUAUGCUAUCUGUCUCUUGGCUCAAGCGUCAUAUUUGAUGCACAGAUGUGAGAGUGGUACCGAUUUUUCCAUAUAACCCUCGGCAAGUGAGCCGUGUGUUGCCAAAAUAUUGAACUAUUCCUUUAACUGCUAAUAUCAACUUGAAGCAAAUUAACUACAAUUUGUCGGCACACAAAUGCAAUACAAAUGUAGUUAUUUCCGCUAUGAAAGUACCAAAUAGAAAACACACAGUAAGCCUUGUUCCUACCGUAGAGUAUGUAGGUUCCCAAAGGCCUCAGCAGAGUCAGGCCUUUCCCUGUGUUGUCCCCACAAAGGCAGUCCAACACGAUGUCUACUCCCUCUGGAGAAAUCCUAAAACAUUAAGAACAAAGUAAAGCUAAAGUUCACUGAAAAUAAAUAUUAAUAUAAUCUAUAUGGCAUUUA